CCUUAGCUAAAAAAUUAGGUCAUUCGAUCUCCCACCCAAACCGCGCGCGCUCUCGGCCUCUUUGGACUCACCAAAAUCGUGUUCCCUCCCUUGGCUAAAAAAUUAGGUCAUAUUCUCCCACCCAAAAUUGCUCUCAGCCUCUCGGACUCACCAAAAUCGUGUUCCCUCCCUUAGCUAAAAAAUUCGGUCAUUCUCCCACCCAAAAUCGCUCUCAGCCUUUCUCCCUGUUCAACUUUCUCUAAUGUGAACGAUCCCUACUAAAAUUGACCAUGUCAGAGCAGAGAUCCGGGUUAAGAAUCCGAGACGCCAGCCCGGACUCGGUUAUUUACACACUCGAGUCCAGCCUCUUCUCCUCUUCCGCUUCCGCCAGCGUUGACCGCUGCUCCUUCGCCUCCGAAGCCUUUGACCACGACUCCACCGACUCCGACUCCACCGCCUCCGAGAUCUCUCCGAACUCGGCGGCGCACCGUCACCAGGUUGAAGAGAGCUCCAGUGGUCCGGAUCGCGAUCCAGAUCCGAAGACGAAGCCCGCUUUACACAUCACCAGCCACCACCACGGUCGUCGAUCCAGAAAAGGAGAAAAGGCCAAAGGUACUACAGCUAAGCUUCGGGACGACGUCGCUUUCUUCCUUUCCUUUUCAGUUUUUCCAAACGAUCUGACUUUCUGUUUUCCCUGACUUUCACUCUUUGGCUUGGAGCUUGCACAGUUCCAAAGCAAGACAGCGACGCCGACUUGGUUCUUGAUUCAGCACGAAGCUCUUUCUCUCUCGCCUUGAAAGGUAAGCCCCCCAAUUUUGUCCACUACAAUCCAAUCCAAUCCAUUCCUAGCCAAAAACCAAAUGACCCUUGUGUUUUAUAGAAUGUCAGGACCGUCGAUCUAGAUCUGAAGCUCUGUCCAAGAAGCUAGACAGGUCGAGACCCGCUUCUUUGGAUUUGAACAAUGUCACCGCCUCGUCUCCGAGAUUGGGGACCUUAAAGAAGAGCUCAACGGCGUCUCGCAAGUCUGGAACCUUCCCAAGUCCCGGAACACCUACCUACCGGCAUACUAGUCUUGGAGUGCAGAAGGGUUGGAGCUCGGAGCGAGUUCCGGCCAAUGCUAAUUUGGGGGGCAGGAAGAAUACAACUGCUGCUGCUAUGUUGCCAUUCAACAAUGGGAGGACGUUGCCGUCGAAAUGGGAAGAUGCAGAAAGGUGGAUUUUCAGUCCGGUUGAGGGGGAUGGUGUGACGAGGCAGUCGAACAGCAAUUAUAUCGAAUUGCGCUGCGCUCCGGUGCUUGCCAGAUAGUGGGCUACCCACUUCCCUUCAAAGCUUGGAGAUUGUGUAUUGCCCUGCUCUGCAGUGCUUGCCAGAUAGUGGACUACCCUCUUCUCUUUCUCAUCUACGUAUCAGUGAUUGCCCUUUGCUUCAGGAACGGUGCCAAAGAGAGACGGGUGAAGAUUGGCCCAAGAUUGCUCACAUCAAGCACAUAGAGAUCAAUAGACGAACAGUUCUAGGGCUUGCAUUCUGAUCAGUUUGGCCACGUCUCAGAGGGCUUGCAUAUUCUACGUGUAAGAUCCUAUUGUUUGAAGUCAUUGCAUAUUCUAGGGUCUGGCUUGAACUCAUGAUCGAUGGGUUUGACAAGGACAAGCCAUACGAAGGAGAAACAGACCAUUUCCAUUCCCUAAGUUUCGUGGAAAGUGAGCAAAAUAUCUUGAUAUGUUAAGACGGAGAUAGGCCAAGGUUAAGAUUGCUCACAGGACCAAUAUUGCCAUGUCUUGCUGUUCUUCUCUUCUUAUCUGAACUUGCACACUGUUCUUUAUCUCCUCCACUCAUCCACACUGUUUCCAAGCAGAAUGAAAAUCACAGGGAGAUGAGAACCAAUUUUUUGUCAGUCAAUACUUGUACUGAUAGCUAGAGUGUGGAUCUUGCAUAUCGAAUUAGCAUGGGCAGAAUAAGGUCAUUGUAUAUAGAUUAAUGACUUGUGCGACUGUUGAAGAAAAGAUAUACAGAAAACAGGGUAUUCCGGAGCAAAAGACCGACAAGGAUUGUGGAUAUUUUAUAAUGAGAUACAUGAAGGAAAUAGUGGAGGAUAAAACCUUGGACAUUUUCAGCAAGUGGGGGAGAAGAAGUAAAGCAGCAUAUUCCCAGGAGGAUAUCGAUGUGGUCAGAACUGAGUGGGCAAAGUUUGUGGUUAAAACAUAUAUGUAAGAUUUGUGUUGGUACUUCUUGGAGACCUAGUUCAAAGUUUGUGGUUAUGUUUUGGUUGGACAGGAUCAGUAGCUAGUACUUUGAAUUGAUAUGUAAGAAAUACUUUAACAAUUGGGUACUCUAUUUCUAGUUUCGGUGUGUUUUGGCAAUGUAUGACAAUGAUGUGCUAUAGUAAAUGACAUUUGAACUAAUUUGUGUUUCA